UGAUCUAUCCUAUUUUCGAUAUCGUUGGGUUUCGCCCGUUCAAUGUGUUCCAAAGAAAUCCGGAGUAACUGUGGUG